rnacentral:rRNA from 1 species
AUUGAACGCUGGCGGCAGGCCUAACACAUGCAAGUCGAGCGAGCGGCGGGCGGGCGUGUAAUGCCUGGGACUUGCCAUGUCGAGGGGGAUAACAGUUGGAAACUACCGCUAAUACCGCAAACGAUUGUUUGCCAAGGUGGGUUUAGCUAGUUGGUGGGUUACUGGCUCACCAAGCCCACGAGCCCUAGCUGGUCUGAGAGGAUGAUCAGCCACACUGGAACUGAGACACGGUCCAGACUCCUACGGGAGGCAGCAGUGGGGAAUAUUGCACAAUGGGCGAAACCCUGAUGCAGCCAUGCCGCGUGUGUGAAGAAGGCCUUCGGGUUGUAAAGCACUUUCAGCGAGGAGGCGUUACUCGCAGAAGAAGCACCGGCUAACUCCGUGCCAGCCGCCGCGGUAAUAC